rnacentral:rRNA from 1 species
UAAGGAAUAUUGCUCAAUGGGAGAAAUCCUGAAGCAGCAACGCCGCGUGGAGGGUGAAGGGUCUAUGACUUGUAAACUCCUGUAAAGAAGGAAAAAAUUCCCAUUAGAUGGGAGAUGGUGGUACUUCUGGAGUAAGCGCCGGCUAACUACGUGCCAGCAGCCGCGGUAAUACGUAGGGGGCAAGCGUUGUCCGGAUUUACUGGGUGUAAAGGGUGCUCAGGCGGAUUUGUAAGUCAGAGGUGAAAUCUUACAGCUUAACUGUGAAACUG